GUCUAUGGCCAUAUCACCCUGAACACACCCAAUCUCGCCUGGUCUCGAAAGUUAAUCAGGGUCAGGCCUGGUUAGUACUUGGAUGGAAGACAGAUCUUCAGAAGAGACUGGUCAGAGAUG
rnacentral:rRNA from 1 species